rnacentral:snRNA from 1 species
GUGCCAUUGAGGUCUGCGC